GACGAACGCUGGCGGCGUGCUUAACACAUGCAAGUCGAACGGACAGGCCCUGCUUUUGUGGGGUGCUCGAUUGGCGAACGGGUGAGUAACACGUGAGUAACCUGCCCUUGACUUUGGGAUAACUUCAGGAAACUGGGGCUAAUACCCGAUAGGAUCUCCUGCUGCAUGGUGGUGGUUGGUAAGUUUCGGCGGUUGGGGAUGGACUCGCGGCUUAUCCGCUUGUUGGUGGGGUAGUGGCUUACCAAGGCUUUGACGGGUAGCCGGCAUGAGAGGGUGACCGGCCACAUUGGGACUGAGAUAGGGCCCAGAAGGCAACGGGAGGCAGCAGUGGAGAAUAUUGCACAAUGGGCCGAAGCCUGAGACAGAAACGCCGCGUGCGGGAUGACGGCUUUCGGGUUGUAAACCGCUUUCGCCUGUGACGAAGCGUGAGUGACGGUAAUGGGUAAAGAAGCACCGGCUAACUACGUG
rnacentral:rRNA from 1 species